GAUGAACGCUGGCGGCGUGCUUAACACAUGCAAGUCGAACGAUGAUGCCUAGCUUGCUAGGUGGAUUAGUGGCGAACGGGUGAGUAACACGUGAGUAACCUGCCCCUGACUCUGGGAUAAGCCUGAGAAAUUGGGUCUAAUACUGGAUAUGAACAUUUACCGCAUGGUGGGUGUUGGAAAGAUUUUUUGGUUGGGGAUGGACUCGCGGCCUAUCAGCUUGUUGGUGAGGUAGUGGCUCACCAAGGCGACGACGGGUAGCCGGCCUGAGAGGGUGACCGGCCACACUGGGACUGAGACACGGCCCAGACUCCUACGGGAGGCAGCAGUGGGGAAUAUUGCACAAUGGGCGAAAGCCUGAUGCAGCGACGCCGCGUGAGGGAUGACGGCCUUCGGGUUGUAAACCUCUUUCAGUAAGGAAGAAGCGAAAGUGACGG
rnacentral:rRNA from 1 species